AGAGUUUGAUCCUGGCUCAGGACGAACGCUGGCGGCGUGCCUAACACAUGCAAGUCGAACGGACUGAUUCGCUUCGGUGAUGAAAGUUAGUGGCGGACGGGUGAGUAACGCGUGAGUAACCUGCCUUUCAGAGGGGGAUAACGUUUGGAAACGAACGCUAAUACCGCAUAACGUACAGUUGUCGCAUGGCAGCAGUACCAAAGGAGCAAUCCGCUGAAAGAUGGACUCGCGUCUGAUUAGAUAGUUGGCGGGGUAACGGCCCACCAAGUCGACGAUCAGUAGCCGGACUGAGAGGUUGAACGGCCACAUUGGGACUGAGACACGGCCCAGACUCCUACGGGAGGCAGCAGUGAGGGAUAUUGCACAAUGGGCGCAAGCCUGAUGCAGCAACGCCGCGUGAAGGAUGACGGUUUUCGGAUUGUAAACUUCUGUUCUUAGUGAUGAUAAUGACAUUAGCUAAGGAGAAAGCCACGGCUAACUACGUGCCAGCAGCCGCGGUAAUACGUAGGUGGCAAGCGUUGUCCGGAUUUACUGGGUGUAAAGGGAGCGCAGGCGGGAAAGCAAGUCAGUGGUGAAAUGCAUGGGCUUAACCCAUGAACUGCCGUUGAAACUGUUUUUCUUGAGUGAAGUAGAGGCAAGCGGAAUUCCGAGUGUAGCGGUGAAAUGCGUAGAUAUUCGGAGGAACACCAGUGGCGAAGGCGGCUUGCUGGGCUUUAACUGACGCUGAGGCUCGAAAGUGUGGGGAGCAAACAGGAUUAGAUACCCUGGUAGUCCACACUGUAAACGAUGAUUACUAGGUGUGGGGGGUCUGACCCCUUCCGUGCCGCAGUUAACGCAAUAAGUAAUCCACCUGGGGAGUACGACCGCAAGGUUGAAACUCAAAGGAAUUGACGGGGGCCCGCACAAGCAGUGGAUUAUGUGGUUUAAUUCGAAGCAACGCGAAGAACCUUACCAGGUCUUGACAUCGAGUGACCGGCUUAGAGAUAAGCCUUUCCUUCGGGACACAAAGACAGGUGGUGCAUGGUUGUCGUCAGCUCGUGUCGUGAGAUGUUGGGUUAAGUCCCGCAACGAGCGCAACCCCUGCCAUUAGUUGCUACGCAAGAGCACUCUAAUGGGACCGCUACCGACAAGGUGGAGGAAGGUGGGGACGACGCCAAAUCAUCAUGCCCCUUAUGACCUGGGCUACACACGUAAUACAAUGGCCGUUAACAGAGGGAAGCAAUACCGCGAGGUGGAGCAAACCCCCAAAAACGGUCUCAGUUCGGAUUGCAGGCUGCAACUCGCCUGUAUGAAGUUGGAAUUGCUAGUAAUCGCGGAUCAGCAUGCCGCGGUGAAUACAUUCCCGGGCCUUGUACACACCGCCCGUCA
rnacentral:rRNA from 1 species